CAAUCAGGCAGAGCAGGGCAGCCCACACGGGUCUUCCGAAGUCUUGCUUCCUGUAUGUAAAGUGCUGUCAGGCAGGGAGCCCUGUGAGAAAGCUGCUGGGAAGGAGCAAGGUAAGCUCAGUGAGCAGAGGCACCUAGGCAUUUCAUGUUAAUUGUACUGAUUCUUAGAGUGUUUAUAUUUGAGGGUGUAGUUGUGAGUGUGUUUGGUGUGUAUUUUUGUAGUGUGUGCCAGUAUGGAUCAAUGUGUGUGUGUGUGUUAUUAUGGAUCAGUGUGUGUGUGUGUGUGUGUCAGUAUGGAUCAAUGUGUCAGUAUGGAUCAAUGUGUGUG